rnacentral:rRNA from 1 species
GACGAACGCUGGCGGCGUGCCUAAUACAUGCAAGUCGAGCGGACAGACGGGAGCUUGCUCCCUGAUGUUAGCGGCGGACGGGUGAGUAACACGUGGGUAACCUGCCUGUAAGACUGGGAUAACUCCGGGAAACCGGGGCUAAUACCGGAUGGUUGUCUGAACCGCAUGGUUCAGACAUAAAAGGUGGCUUCGGCUACCACUUACAGAUGGACCCGCGGCGCAUUAGCUAGUUGGUGAGGUAACGGCUCACCAAGGCAACGAUGCGUAGCCGACCUGAGAGGGUGAUCGGCCACACUGGGACUGAGACACGGCCCAGACUCCUACGGGAGGCAGCAGUAGGGAAUCUUCCGCAAUGGACGAAAGGCUGACGGGGCAACGCCGCGUGAGGGAUGAAGGUUUUCGGAUCGUAAAGCUCUGUUGUUAGGGAAGAACAAGUGCCGUGCAAAUAGGGCGGCACCUUGACGGUACCUAACCAGAAAGCCACGGCUAACUACGUG